rnacentral:lncRNA from 1 species
CUAUGAGGUUUGAGUCAGUUGUCCUUUAUGUUGUUGUGUAUUGAAUACUUGGUUCCCAGUGAGUGGCUUUCUGGGGAGGCUAUGACGCGUCUUGCUAUAGAGUUUUUGUGUGACUGAGGCCAGGACUUGAAGUUCAGAAAAGACUUGUGCCAUAGAAUUUGUUCUCUCUGCUUCCUUUGAGGUUUAAAGUGUGAGCUCUCAGCUAUUCCUGCUAUAAGCAGCAGUGCUGAGAAAUUACCAAACUAGACCACCCUAUGGGUAGAAAGAAAGAUUUAUUUGAGAUCACACUGCUAAGGCCAUCUUGGGGAGGGAGCGAGUGUCAGAAGAGAAAGCAGAUUCUCUAUCUGAUAGCACGGUGGGGAUCUGAGCUAUAUGGGCGGUUCGGGUUGACUAGGCCCCCUUGCCCAAGGAAAUUAACCUUUGAGGGAAGGGUCGAGGAUGGUUUCUAGCCGACAGGAGCCUUCCAUCGAAUAUCAAUUUUUCUGUUAAGUGGAAAUCUUCCUUUCGGCUUCUUUACCUGGCCAAAGCCCUUCAGUUUAGGACAACUUCGCCAACACUGGCACUGGGAGACAGGGACUCUGUACCUGACACCUGACACCACACAGAAACUUGCCAUACUUCCCCACUGUAGUAAUUGGGAAGCCCAUGAUAACCCUCCCUUCUAAAGUUACCUCAGCUAUGGGGCUUUAGCACAGCAAUAGAGAAAUAACCAAGACACUUAUUAUCUUGGGGGCGGGGGAUAUGCAGAGGUAUAUGGCCACUUGUCUGCAGCCGCUCAAUGGUAGACAGCCAACAAGACAACCAAGUUCUUCUUAGCCUGAGGCAGAAGGAUGGCUGGAAUUAAGUAGGAGAGAAGUUUUCCAAAGAGUUUUCCUUUUAAAAAAAUCGAAUCAGGCCUGCAUGGAGGAGGUGCUGUCUGUGUGUUCAGCAAGGCCCAUGUGACCCUCAGCUCACAGUCUGGGGUGGCCUGACCAAGUCUCCUGAAACAGCAGCUCCUCCUGAGCUGUUUCUUCACAAUACAGUGCAGGAUCUUAGCUGCAGUGUGUUUGGAAGAUCGGUCACAUGAGCAAAUUGAGUUGUAAAUUAGGUCACCUUUAAUUUUAUUUUGUAAAAUCAGUGUUUAAAUCAUACGUGAUUUAAAACAUGAAAAAAAUUACCAACACUUCCUCACCACCAUCAGAUUUUCAGCAGCACCCAGACUUCCCCAUGGCCUCACCAUGGCUUCCUUUCCUCCCAGGCAAUUCGUUUGAGUCAAGAACCAAACAUAUGUUGUAACCGAUGGAAAUGCUGCCUCAAACUUUUCAGUCUCUGGUUUUUCCUCUCUAUCUUUCUCUUAUUUUCUUUGUGAAUUAGCAUCCCUCACUGCAGUCACUGUAGUAAGUUUGUGCAGGUGGGGCCAGAAAGCACAGCCAGCAUCUGGAUUUCCGAAAGUGCUAGAGCAGAGCCCAGCAAACUGUCAGUGCCUGUUGCAGUGACCCAGGAAGGCAGUCAAAGCAUCCACUGUGUUAAAUGAACACUAACAGUAAAAAGGUGACCGAGGGUGACUGUCCCUGAGGAGGAGCCUAUACCUAGAUUUGGGUCGGUUUUACUUUCCGUGACUUCCCCCUGAGAAGCGGCAGCAUAUUCUCUGAGCUAGGAC